CCUACGGGAGGCUGCAGUGGGGAAUAUUGCACAAUGGGGGAAACCCUGAUGCAGCGACGCCGCGUGAGCGAUGAAGUAUUUCUGUAUGUAAAGCUCUAUCAGCAGGGAAGAAAAUGACGGUACCUGACUAAGUAGCUCCGGCUAACUACGUGCCAGCAGCGGCGGUACUACGUAGGGGGCAAGCGUUAUCCGGAUUUACUGGGUGUAAGGGGAGCGUAGAGGGUCCUGCAAGCCAGAGGUGAAAGCCCGGGGCUCAACCCCGGGAUUGCAUUUGGAACUGUAAGGCUAGAGUGUCGGAGAGGCAGGCGGAAUGCCUGGUGUAGCGGUGAAAUGCGUAGAUAUUAGGAGGAACACCAGUGGCGAAGGCGGCCUGCUGGGCGAUGACUGACGUUGAGGCUCGAAAGCGUGGGGAGCAAACAGGAUUAGAUACCCGAGUAGUC
rnacentral:rRNA from 1 species